UUGGUUGAUCCUGCCAGUAGUCAUAUGCUUGUCUCAAAGAUUAAGCCAUGCAUGUCUAAGUAUAAGCAAUCUAUACGGUGAAACUGCGAAUGGCUCAUUAAAUCAGUUAUCGUUUAUUUGAUAGUACCUUACUACUUGGAUAACCGUGGUAAUUCUAGAGCUAAUACAUGCUAAAAACCCCGACUUCGGAAGGGGUGUAUUUAUUAGAUAAAAAACCAAUGCCCUUCGGGGCUCCUUGGUGAUUCAUAAUAACUUAACGAAUCGCAUGGCCUUGUGCCGGCGAUGGUUCAUUCAAAUUUCUGCCCUAUCAACUUUCGAUGGUAGUGUAUUGGACUACCAUGGUUUCAACGGGUAACGGGGAAUUAGGGUUCUAUUCCGGAGAGGGAGCCUGAUAAACGGCUACCACAUCCAAGGAAGGCAGCAGGCGCGCAAAUUACCCAAUCCCGACACCGGCGAGGUAGUGACAAUAAAUACUGAUACAGGGCUCUUUAGGGUCUUGUAAUUGGAAUGAGUACAAUUUAAAUCCCUUAACGAGGAACAAUUGGAGGGCAAGUCUGGUGAACUCAGUCCUGCUGACUCCAGAUAAAAUAGGGGCCGUGAGGCCCUAUUAGUCGCGCACC
rnacentral:rRNA from 1 species